rnacentral:rRNA from 1 species
UACGUAGGGUGCGAGCGUUGUCCGGAAUUAUUGGGAGUAAAGAGCUCGUAGGCGGUGUGUCACGUCUGCCGUGAAAACCUGCAGCUUAACUGUGGGCGUGCGGUCGAUACGGGCAUCACUGGAGUUCGGCAGGGGAGACUGGAAUUCCUGGUGUAGCGGUGAAAUGCGCAGAUAUCAGGAGGAACACCGGUGGCGAAGGCGGGUCUCUGGGCCGAUACUGACGCUGAGGAGCGAAAGCGUGGGGAGCGAACGGG